rnacentral:lncRNA from 1 species
CUCGGCCCUGUUCGGUUCCAUGCGACGCUCGGUUCCCCUGCUCACCCCUCUGUUUCCUCGGGUGAAGGCAACCUGUUUCUCAGGCAUCAUUCAGCCAUGCUCCGCUCAGUCUGACCCAGUGGGCUCGUUCAUUAAGCUCCACUGGGCCCGCUGGGUAUACCCCCCACCCCGCACACUCACUGGGCUCCUCUCGCUCCACCAGGCUUCUUUGGAACGCACUCAUCUUCCUCAGUCUGCUAUUCAACACCAGGGAGGCAGAACAGAAGCUGGGUGCCUCGUCUGCAAGCUGGAGACACUGACUUGGCUACUUGCAAUGAAAACACGACGUGGAGAGGUCCUGGAAUAGGAAAACCUGACAGCCAAGUUCAAUAAAGGGAGAGCUGCUCUGCUUCUGGUGCCAAAAUCCCCGUUCACGGCCCUCCCAGGACACUGCUGGUGUGUGAGUGCACUCCAGGCCUUUCUGCUGUCCGUGUCACUGCUCGGAUUCUAAAUCUCCAGAAACAGGCUUUGAUUAGCUGGGCCUAGGUGACAGGAAGUUCUUCCCAUGGAACUAGGUUAUGAAGGAUGAGUAAAAGUUUGCUAAAAAGAGAAAGGAAGGACAUUCCAGUAGAUGCGACAGUACUGACACUGCCAGAAAGGAAUUUGGAGCCACCUCAGAAUUGCC